rnacentral:rRNA from 1 species
GGAUGAACGCUGGCGGCGUGCCUAAUACAUGCAAGUCGAGCGAACGGACGAGAAGCUUGCUUCUCUGAUGUUAGCGGCGGACGGGUGAGUAACACGUGGAUAACCUACCUAUAAGACUGGGAUAACUUCGGGAAACCGGAGCUAAUACCGGAUAAUAUUUUGAACCGCAUGGUUCAAAAGUGAAAGACGGUCUUGCUGUCACUUAUAGAUGGAUCCGCGCUGCAUUAGCUAGUUGGUAAGGUAACGGCUUACCAAGGCAACGAUGCAUAGCCGACCUGAGAGGGUGAUCGGCCACACUGGAACUGAGACACGGUCCAGACUCCUACGGGAGGCAGCAGUAGGGAAUCUUCCGCAAUGGGCGAAAGCCUGACGGAGCAACGCCGCGUGAGUGAUGAAGGUCUUCGGAUCGUAAAACUCUGUUAUUAGGGAAGAACAUAUGUGUAAGUAACUGUGCACAUCUUGACGGUACCUAAUCAGAAAGCCACGGCUAACUACGUGCCAGCAGCCGCGGUAAUACGUAGGUGGCAAGCGUUAUCCGGAAUUAUUGGGCGUAAAGCGCGCGUAGGCGGUUUUUUAAGUCUGAUGUGAAAGCCCACGGCUCAACCGUGGAGGGUCAUUGGAAACUGGAAAACUUGAGUGCAGAAGAGGAAAGUGGAAUUCCAUGUGUAGCGGUGAAAUGCGCAGAGAUAUGGAGGAACACCAGUGGCGAAGGCGACUUUCUGGUCUGUAACUGACGCUGAUGUGCGAAAGCGUGGGGAUCAAACAGGAUUAGAUACCCUGGUAGUCCACGCCGUAAACGAUGAGUGCUAAGUGUUAGGGGGUUUCCGCCCCUUAGUGCUGCAGCUAACGCAUUAAGCACUCCGCCUGGGGAGUACGACCGCAAGGUUGAAACUCAAAGGAAUUGACGGGGACCCGCACAAGCGGUGGAGCAUGUGGUUUAAUUCGAAGCAACGCGAAGAACCUUACCAAAUCUUGACAUCCUUUGACAACUCUAGAGAUAGAGCUUUCCCCUUCGGGGGACAAAGUGACAGGUGGUGCAUGGUUGUCGUCAGCUCGUGUCGUGAGAUGUUGGGUUAAGUCCCGCAACGAGCGCAACCCUUAAGCUUAGUUGCCAUCAUUAAGUUGGGCACUCUAAGUUGACUGCCGGUGACAAACCGGAGGAAGGUGGGGAUGACGUCAAAUCAUCAUGCCCCUUAUGAUUUGGGCUACACACGUGCUACAAUGGACAAUACAAAGGGCAGCGAAACCGCGAGGUCAAGCAAAUCCCAUAAAGUUGUUCUCAGUUCGGAUUGUAGUCUGCAACUCGACUACAUGAAGCUGGAAUCGCUAGUAAUCGUAGAUCAGCAUGCUACGGUGAAUACGUUCCCGGGUCUUGUACACACCGCCCGUCACACCACGAGAGUUUGUAACACCCGAAGCCGGUGGAGUAACCUUUUAGGAGCUAGCCGUCGAAGGUGGGACAAAUGAUUGGGG